UCUGGCUCAGGAUGAACGCUAGCGACAGGCUUAACACAUGCAAGUCGAGGGCAGCAUAAAAGUAGCAAUACUUGGUGGCGACCGGCGCGACGGGUGAGUAACGCGUAUGCAACCUACCUAUCAGAGGGGAAUAACCCGGCGAAAGUCGGACUAAUACCGCAUAAAACAGGGGCACCGCAUGGUGAUAUUUGUUAAAGAGAUUCGCUGAUAGAUGGGCAUGCGUUCCAUUAGGUAGUUGGUGAGGUAACGGCUCACCAAGCCGACGAUGGAUAGGGGAACUGAGAGGUUGGUCCCCCACACUGGUACUGAGACACGGACCAGACUCCUACGGGAGGCAGCAGUGAGGAAUAUUGGUCAAUGGGCGGGAGCCUGAACCAGCCAAGUCCGCGUGAAGGAAGAAGGAUCUAUGGUUCGUAAACUUCUUUUGCAGGGGAAUAAAGUGCAGGACGUGUCCUGUUUUGUAUGUACCCUGAGAAUAAGGAUCGGCUAACUCCGUGCCAGCCGCCGC
rnacentral:rRNA from 1 species